rnacentral:tRNA from 1 species
GGUGCCAUGGUCCAGCUGUUAGGACAUUGGACUCUGAAUCCAUAAUCUGAGUUUAAAUCUCAGCGGAACCU